rnacentral:rRNA from 1 species
GAUGAACGCUGGCGGCGUGCCUAAAACAUGCAAGUCGAGCGAACAGACGAGGAGCUUGCUCCUCUGACGUUAGCGGCGGACGGGUGAGUAACACGUGGAUAACCUACCUAUAAGACUGGGAUAACUUCGGGAAACCGGAGCUAAUACCGGAUAACAUGUUGAACCGCAUGGUUCAACAGUGAAAGACGGUCUUGCUGUCACUUAUAGAUGGAUCCGCGCCGCAUUAGCUAGUUGGUAAGGUAACGGCUUACCAAGGCAACGAUGCGUAGCCGACCUGAGAGGGUGAUCGGCCACACUGGAACUGAGACACGGUCCAGACUCCUACGGGAGGCAGCAGUAGGGAAUCUUCCGCAAUGGGCGAAAGCCUGACGGAGCAACGCCGCGUGAGUGAAGAAGGUCUUCGGAUCGUAAAACUCUGUUAUUAGGGAAGAACAAAUGUGUAAGUAACUAUGCACGUCUUGACGGUACCUAAUCAGAAAGCCACGGCUAACUACGUG